rnacentral:misc_RNA from 1 species
GAAAAAGUGAAUAGCUCCAGCCAAUCAACAGGACUGAAGGCUGGGGAAACAGAGAAGAGCCUUCCUAGCUUUGGAAAAGUUAGAUUUGGAUCUUCUGACACGAAUCCAUCAUUUGGCAGAGGAAAUAAUGCCAGUGGAUCUGAAGUUGGUCCUCCAGAUGGGACUCGUGUAUUUUCUCGUAAAAGAAACAUGGAAGGAAGCACGCCUGCAGUUGGUUCCCUCAGUGACGUUUCCACAAUAAAAGAAGAGAAG